rfam:Nicotiana attenuata strain TT chromosome 12, whole genome shotgun sequence.
UGGUUGUGAUGAGGACAAUCUCUGAGCAGCCCCUUGAACCUCUCCCAAGCUGAAUAUAAAGACUCGCCCGACUUCUGUUUGAAGGCUACUAUCUUACUUCUGAUCUU